UACGGAGGGUGCAAGCGUUGUUCGGAAUUAUUGGGUGUAAAGCGCGCGCAGGCGGCCGCAUAAGUCUAUGGGUGAAAUGCCGGGGCUCAACCCCGUGCAUGCCCAGGAUACUGUGCGGCUAGAGACACGUAGAGGCAAGCGGAAUUCCGGGUGUAGCGGUGGAAUGCGUAGAGAUCCGGAAGAACACCGGAGGCGAAGGCGGCUUGCUGGGCGUGAUCUGACGCUGAGGCGCGAAAGCGUGGGGAGCGAACAGGAUUAGAAACCCGAGUAGU
rnacentral:rRNA from 1 species